rnacentral:rRNA from 1 species
UGGGGAAUAUUGCACAAUGGGCGCAAGCCUGAUGCAGCCAUGCCGCGUGUGUGAAGAAGGCCUUCGGGUUGUAAAGCACUUUCAGCGAGGAGGAAGGCGUUAAGGUUAAUAACCUUAGCGAUUGACGUUACUCGCAGAAGAAGCACCGGCUAACUCCGUGCCAGCAGCCGCGGUAAUACGGAGGGUGCAAGCGUUAAUCGGAAUUACUGGGCGUAAAGCGCACGCAGGCGGUUUGUUAAGUCAGAUGUGAAAUCCCCGAGCUUAACUUGGGAACUGCAUUUGAAACUGGCAAGCUAGAGUCUUGUAGAGGGGGG